GCCAUCACGUAAUGCAAUUUUUAUUAAAUAAAAUUAAUACACAUUUAUUUUAUUAUGAAUCAUCCACAUACGGUAGUUUAAUUUUAUGCUGUGCACAAUGCAGAUAAAGAGUCGUGCAUCAUUUAAGACCAUUGAAAUCAUACAUUCAAAUCAUGUCUGUGUGGCUAAAAAGCUAAAUAAACAAGAACAGGCCUGUUGCAACAAACAAUCCAAUUGCCUUGGGCCCCAAGCUGGGCCCCAUGGGCCCCAGGACAAUGACAAACUCAGGACAAACUGUAUAAGCUGCCCCUUUAAAACGUUAUAUGUUUUAUGUAAAUACUUAAAUGCAAACAGUAAAGCAUUUGCACUUUCACAAAUGUAUUUUAUUGAUAGAAUGUUUUAGGGCAACUUCAACUUUUGAGUGAGCGUGGGGGAGGCUAUAAGUCAAUUUUGCCUUGGGCCCCCAAAUGUCUUGAAAUGGCCCUGGACAAGAACAUAAUAGAAACACACACAGCUUCAACUUAUGAAUUAUCUCUGGUUUUUGUAGAUUCAUUUAAGAUCAUUUGCAUUAGCAGUCACUAAAAUCUUUAUACCUGAGGCAAUUAUACAUGUGAUGAGCUGAAAUGCGACAUUUUAGUAGCUGAGAGUCAUCGCUAAGUCAAACUUUGAGCAUUAACUGGUCAUGUGAGAGCUUGCACAUAAAGAUUUAAUGAAAAAAACUCCGCCUGAAAAGUAAUAUCACCAGAAAGCAAACAGCACAGGACUCUGAUUAGCCUUUUAUCUUUGAUUAACAAGUUGUAUGCAUCUGCUUUACACUGACUGUGUAUGCUAACUCAUUUUCAUGCUCAUCAUUCCCCUUUCCUCCUAACAAUAACACUCAAUAUCUCCCUCAUCCACCUGCAGCGUGAACACUGCACAACUUUGAUCUGCUGCUGCUCAUCCUCCGUAUCUCUCCUCAAGCAGAAAACCAUUACAUACGCUUUAUUUAUAUGUGACAGAUGCACUUGUCAUUCAAAGGGAAGCUCAGAUCCUUGGCAAUCAAAGGUGCAGGAGAUGCCUCCAGAGCCUGCGUUAAUAUGCAUGAGAGAGGGAGCUGUCCGAUGAUGUAAUUGCAGCAGAAACGAAGAGAUGCAGCAGAUUUACAGAAACAGGACAGACUCAAUUCUUUGGGCAUGUCGGUCUCUGUAGGAAAAAGCUCUAGCGCUCCUGUUUCAGGAAGUAGAAAUGAGCCAGAUCAGAGGGAGCCAGUGAAGAUGUACCAGGACAGGAGUAAUGUGGCUACGUCGGUGUGUACUCGUCAACAACCUGGCAGCAGCGUUCUGGACGACCUGCAGCCGAUUCAGGGCGGAUACCGGAACACCAACGAGGAGGGCGUUUGCGUAGUCCAAGCGAGAGGUAACGAAGGCAUGGAUUUCUACGGAACAUUUUCUGCAAGAAAAGAUGUGUAUGUGUAAUAAAUGAACAAUUAGUAGGAAGUACAUUUACCUUCCAGUCACAUAUGAAACCUCAUCUACCAUAUUUAUUUGGUGCAUGUUUUGGGACACCUGUGCAACAUUUUACCCUGAGAUCAUCUCACAAUUCUGCUUACAUUACAAGCAUGCAGAAAACUUUCCAACCAAGCAGUAGCAUCAUCACUGAUUUGUGCGUUGAUUGUUGCCAGGAAACAUUUGAACAGAUUAAUGGCCCUGAAAUAUUCCCUGCUGCUCUGAAAGCUGCCUACAUGCAUUACAUAAGCAUUUCAUUUGUCCAGCAAAGACUAAAAUGUGAAGGCAACUCACACCGAUUGCUAACUAACACACACUGCAUUAUUCACACUAUUGUUUGCAGAACAUCACAAAUCACUUGCUUGUUCUGAUAAUUAUACCAUUCACAACAAUCAAAACUACCUAGAAUUAAUAUAAAAGGUGUGGUCAAGUCUUUAAUAGUCAAAAAGUUGUUGGUUUGUGCAGUUUUUCCUUUUUAUUUCAACAAUUAUGCUCAUCUGUCAUUGUCUGGGAAACAGAUUUUGGUUUUUGUUUAUAAUACAUCUGAUAUUUUUUAUUGUUAUUCACAUACAACACUUUCCGCUGUCUCUUACAAGCUACAAUGUGUGUUUUAUAAAUGAUUUAAUGGUCCCAACUCUGAAAAACCUCAUCCACACUAGAAAAGAACCUAUUUGGGUAAUAGGAGCUUUAAAUACAUACAAACUUGAUUGGUGUGGCAUUAAAAAGGUAGGUUUAUCAUCUGAUUCCUUUUAAAGGUUGCUGCCUCCCUGUGGAUGUUCCUCAAAAUAACACUGUUGCUAAAAUUCACUCAAUAUGUCCUCUUUGUGAUUGUAACUACCCAAAAAAUGUGAACAAACUAUAUGAAAGGUAAUCUAUAAUUUAAAAAAAAUUAAGAAAAAACAGCCACCUACUACUAUUAAAAUCAAAAUGUCAUUUUCACUGUAAUUAUUUGCCCUAUUCAGCACCCGCAUUAACAGAAUUACAAAAUAUUAGAGUGUCGAAUCACUCCAUUCUGUUUCUUUGUGUGCUGAACAAUACAGUCUGCUCAGCUGAGCUCUAGAUUAUCUCAACGUGUUGGGCAAAAUGCUCAGUCUCUACUUUCAGCUCACAGAUAAUGAUAUAACCAUGGCAACGCAGACACCACAUCUACGCUUUCCUGUGGACUUUUUGUUAAUAAACUGCAGAUAAACGAUGUUGUGUUCAGUGACCAUAAGUUAGUUUCCUUUCAUAUUAACCUAAAUUCUGAAUCUCUUUUACCAGACUCUGCCAAGCAAAGACGUAUUAUCAACAGUUCUACCAUUUUUAAUUUCUCCUCCCUCUUUGACUUUGUACCUCCUUCUGAUGACGUAGCUCCUUACUGACUCAUUUCAUGAUCACUGCCUCAAAAUUCUAGAUCAGGUUGCCCCACACAAAACCAGCCGCAGUUCCCGUGCCACCAGUUCACCUUGGCUGAACAACCAGAUUCUUGAUCUUAAACGCUCCUGUAGAAAAGCAGAACGACGGUGGAAGAGGACAGGUUUGAUUGUUCAUUGCGAAUAUUUUAAAGAACUUCUCGAGUCAUACAACAAAGCUGCCUGGUCUUCUUUCUUCAGCAUGCCAAAAUAAGAAUAAUCCUAAGGUUUUGUUUGAUACCAUCUCCAGCAUUGUUUCUUCUCCUCCUCAGCAGGCUCGGCUAUCUUCAGCUGAUGAUUGUAACAUAUUUCUCCACUUUUUUUGCAAACAAGGUGUUGAAUCUAAGAUCUAGCAUUCCACCAGCUCCCCCCAUCAGCGAGGAGGCCCCUCAGUGCUCCGAGUCUUUCGCCUCCUUCCAAAUCACACUAAAUGACAUCGGUUUCCAUCAAGCCCCCACAACGCUGCUCAAAAAUUGAGGCCAACCCGGAAGUACCAAAAAUUGCAGGGGACAUAGAAGGGGGACAUAGAAGGGGGUGCGCGGCUAAAUAAGUUUGGGAACCACUGCACUAGAGGGUUUUUUUUCACACUACAAAUGUAUUUAAAUAGCGAGUGAAUGAGAGCUUUGAAUUAAACUUUUUUUACCUUGCCACCUUGUGUUGUCUCAAUUUUGAUGCAGUUUUGAGCCAGACUGUAACACGUGGGGGCUCAUCUGGGAUCAGAAAUUUCCUGCUGGGGGAGCCCCUGGCUACAUUGGAAUAGCUACAGCUCCUACAGCCAGUUGGAGUUACAACAAACUUAUUUCAAUUGUAAUCUAAUGUGAAAAGUUUAUAAAAUGUCGUUUACAUGAACCAUCUGAUGCAUAGCAUACUAGGCAUGUUCUAGACAUGCAGCAGCUGGAAAUUAGUUCCACACAGCUGGUCCCACAAGACUGCAAAAUCACAGGAGAAUAGCAAUAUCACUAAUGAUUUUGCCAUUUCACAUUAUAACAAGCAAGGAGAACGACAGCAGCAUGUAUCCGAAAGACAUGCGUUAUUUUUACUUUCGCCAAAGAGGUCUCACAGGCAAUGGUAUUUUUUAAGGGUGGGUUUUUAAUGCAUGAAUUAAAAUUAAUUAAUUAGAAUAAAAUAAGUUGUUAAAAAAUUUAACACUUGAGUCCAAGCGCUCUAGCCUGACAAGCCAUCCUAUACAGUAUAUGUGAAUAUAGUCUGGCCACAAUCCAUAAACGGCUCACAGUCGUGAGACCGGGUUGACGGGUCAAGCUUGUGCGUAAUCAUAUGCGCUUUCUAAGCGGAAGAGGAUGUGAGAUUCUGGGAUUCUCCUCAGCCAGGCUCCUGGAUGUGUCGCCACAUUGGAGACAGGAACAAGCACUAUUCAGCCAAAGUUUCGUAAUCAGGGAACAUUUUCUAAGUGACAAGUCUCACUUCAGUCGGAGGAAUCUUCCUGCAUGCGCUCUGGUUCUGCAACGCGCUCCAAGCCCCUCUCCACAUCUUCAGCUCGCUGUACACCUUACGUACACGCUGACAGUGAGCUGCGCUGAGCAGUGUCCAGCUCAGAUGUUCAGAUGGGAAUCUUUUCUGGAGUGAUUUAGCUACAUCUGCGAUGUGCGAAACGAAUAAAAUGUCAGUUCGUCUGCAUGCGUCGGGGUAAUUCUUUCUAUUCUUUCUCCAUCAAAAUAAUUGGUCAAAUACGGGAACUGUCCGGUCAACACAAGCCCUGCUUUUAACUGUUCUGUUUUCUUGUGAAAAUUGUUGCAAAGAGAUAUAAUUUAACGUGAUUAACACCAGAGUCAGGAGCACUGCGCCAUUAUCUCCGUCACUGUAAAUGAGGGAAAAACAAAUUGAUCGGAUCCUUUUCUGACCUUCCCCACCAACAAAGUUUAAUUACAACAAUCAAACGUGACAGAGCCUGGAUUUGUAUUCUGAACAGUCUAAACAUGUUUUAAAAAGAAACGUAUGCCAAAAGUGGCACCUGCUCAGUAAAACCACCAACAGGGUGAAAAAUAUCAAAAUAUUGUAGGCAGAGACGGGCUACAACUUCUGGAUCCACUUUAUAUAAAUCAUUUUAUUGAUUAUUGUCUUAUGAAAGAUAACUUUGACGUACACGAGCGACCGGUACUGGCUGCUGUCACCUGUUGUGAGCAGCUCUCUGCUGUCUGAGGCUAGGCCCCGCCCACAACGCUGCGGCUGGUGUGGCUCCCAGUGUGGCUCUUUGAUGGGAACAGGUUGCUGACCCCUGCUGUAAGGCUUGUUACCAGCAUUCAAACAUCAAUUCUGUUUGCUUCACAGCCAGACAGGACACGGUAAAAAUAAAUGA